rnacentral:rRNA from 1 species
UACGUAGGGUGCGAGCGUUGUCCGGAAUUAUUGGGCGUAAAGAGCUCGUAGGCGGCUUGUCGCGUCGGCUGUGAAAACUCGGGGCUCAACCCCGAGCCUGCAGUCGAUACGGGCAGGCUGGAGUCCGGCAGGGGAGACUGGAAUUCCUGGUGUAGCGGUGAAAUGCGCAGAUAUCAGGAGGAACACCGGUGGCGAAGGCGGGUCUCUGGGCCGAAACUGACGCUGAGGAGCGAAAGCGUGGGGAGCAAACAGG